rnacentral:rRNA from 1 species
CCCUUAGAUGUUCUGGGCCGCACGCGUGCUACACUGAGUGGAUCAGCGGGUCAGGUUGCGCGAAAGUGUUUCCUAAUCUUUAAAUCCGCUCGUGAUGGGGAUUGACGGUUGCAAUUUUACGUCAUGAACGAGGAAUACCUUGUAAGCGCGGGUCAUCAUCCCGCGCUGAAUACGUCCCUGCCCUUUGUACACACCGCCCGUCGCUCCUACCGAUUGAGUGGUCCGGUGAGGCUUUGGGAUCUGAGCGGAAAGAGCGUUUCGCUGUUUCUGCCCGGAAAACUCAGUCGAACCUUAUCAUUUAGAGGAAGGAGAAGUCGUAACA